rnacentral:rRNA from 1 species
GACGAACGCUGGCGGCGUGCUUAACACAUGCAAGUCGAACGGAAAGGCCCUGCUUUUGUGGGGUGCUCGAGUGGCGAACGGGUGAGUAACACGUGAGUAACCUGCCCUUGACUUUGGGAUAACUUCAGGAAACUGGGGCUAAUACCGGAUAGGAGCUCCUGCUGCAUGGUGGGGGUUGGAAAGUUUCGGCGGUUGGGGAUGGACUCGCGGCUUAUCAGCUUGUUGGUGGGGUAGUGGCUUACCAAGGCUUUGACGGGUAGCCGGCCUGAGAGGGUGACCGGCCACAUUGGGACUGAGAUACGGCCCAGACUCCUACGGGAGGCAGCAGUGGGGAAUAUUGCACAAUGGGCGGAAGCCUGAUGCAGCAACGCCGCGUGCUGGAUGACGGCCUUCGGGUUUUAAACCGCUUUCGCCUGUGACGAAGCGUGAGUGACGGUAAUGGGUAAAGGAGCACCGGCUAGCUACGUG